rnacentral:lncRNA from 1 species
AUAUAUCUUAAGUUUUCAGUUUCGACCCCGUUUGGUCACUAAAAACUGUACCGAACUGCAAUCUUUAUCAGAUAGCUUUCGGAUUUUAUUUCUCUCUCUACGGGUGUCAGAAUGAUAUGAAACUUUAAAUCUAGCCUCAAAAAAAUAUUUUUGACAUCUCUGCCAAUUUUCAUAAUUUUCUGACACUGUGCAUUUUCUGCUAAUUUAUCUGCCCCGUUUCUCACAGAAAAUUCUAAAUCUUCUGUUUUCGCUCCGAUUUCAGUACAGGUCACUCCUAACCUAUAUUUCGCUUCUCUAAAUCCGAUAAAAUAGUAUCUCAUACUAUUUUUAUUUAUUUUUACUUUCAUAUUUAAAAUCUGGUAUGUUACAUUCCACCGCAAUCUCACCGGAACCAUUUAAAUAGCUGUCCAAUCAAACGUACACCGUAACUUCAUAAUUUUAGAAGUCCGGUACUUUACAUUCUCCCCUCCUUAAUAAGAGUUUCGUCCCCGAAACUCACUCACUUAAAUCCAAUUCACCCUCCAAUUCUCUUUAUCGAGUAACGACGG